UCCCACCCUUCUCCCCAUUGUCGGAUCCGCUUGCUCGUCAAGGUUAGGCGGCGAAGCUCCACGUCCGCGAAGCGCACGUGCUCGUCAAGGAAGCGGCUCCCGGAUCUGAGAUCGCGCGGCCGUGACGGAAGGGGCUCGAGGUGGCCGCCGAAGACCAAGCCGUUCACGCAAGCCCUCGACACGAUCCUCCCGACGCAUGCACUCCUCGCGUCCUCGCGCUGCCGUUCUCUUCUUCUCUCCGAUCUCCUCGCCCUGCCCGACGACGCCGAGGCCCUCCGAGGUCCAGGUCGCUGUGCGGCGUGCACCGUGAGCCCUCAACUAGCGCGCGUGUGGCCACUGCAUCAGGGCAUGUACGGUUGUGCCAGUAAAGCUAUUUGAUAUAUGCCACUAUGUAUGUUCCUGCAAAAGGGGUUUGCAUUAUGUAUGUUCUUGUUGUACAUCAAUGAGAAUAGCAAGAACAGCAGAGGAAUCUAUGGCAAAAAUAAGGAGCGACAUUCUUCUUAUUUCAAAGAAAGGCAUCAAGUAGAUUCAUGUAGAAUGACUAUGGGAAGAUUAUCUUUUGAGAGCCGCUCCUCUCCCCUCCCUGGCCGGAGGAAUCCCCACAUCCCCAAGCUCGACGGGCUUGCCAGACGACUGAUUGAGGUCCUUGCCAUGGCCACUCACACAGCCGGUGAGUCCCGUAGGCUGCCGACGUCACCAACCGUCGCGCGCCGCCGGUCUGCCUAGCCCACUGCCAGCUGCGGGCGGCCAGCUGGGGUCGAACUCCAUGCAUGUUCCAUGCCGGCCAAACGAGACCGCCCUCCACGCCGGGACGCUGACACGCUGGCCUGCCCGUCCCUUGCUCCACGUCCCGGCCUGCACGUCCCCUGCUCCGGACGGACGCACCAAACUCCACAACUUCCCGGCAAUCCGACCACAGGCAGACGCAUUUUCUUCAGGUUCACACAACUUCCCUGUCGUCAAUCAAUGGACCUGCAUUUGAAUGAAAACAACUGUAUUUAGUUGGUUAUUGUACAAUAUUUGGUUUUGGUCAUAUUAAUGCAGGGGAAUUCAGAUUACAGUACUGUGUAAUCAUAGUUGUAGCAGCACAGAGCAGAGCCUCUCCGAUCGGUAAGGAAAAUUCAGGAAGCACAUCACACCAUUUCUUACCUAGCCUACUGCAUUGUUGUUGCUUCAGCAAUCACGCUGGUGCAUCGAUCCUCCUAGCACAUAUAUAAAUUAAAUUGUGUAUAGAUACGAACUGCUUGAGCAAUCACGCUGGGUUUUCAUGACCACCUUCUGCCCUUCUCCAGUAAUAUCUGUCAGAUCCUUGGCGUGAUCUAUGUACUAGGUAUUAGAACUGUAAGUAUAACAUUGUCUGAUGAUGUCCUAUACAUGUGAAAUGCAGUUUGUAAACAUUCAUUUGCCGAAGAAAUCAUGGGAUUUAGUUAUAUCUAUUUUCUCAUAUUGAUUCUUCAUGCUAUAAAUCCAUAGAAGAAACAAAGCAGAUUGAUUAAAUACCACUAUAAGCAGUUUUUCCCAAAUCCUGUUACAACUAAGUGAGCCUGACAUUUUGCAGCAAAGAAUAAUCAAGAAAUUUGCAGCAUAAUAUAUCAAAAAAUAAUUAGAGAGGAGAGAAAAAUGGAAAGAACUUUCUCAAAAAAAUAUAUGUAGGUGAACCCAAUAGGAGAAGUUCAAUUUCAGCCAAAACAUUAAUUAUAUAACCUUUAUGCAUUCAGGAAAAUAUGGACGUGAAGAGAACACCUUAAAUUAGUUAGGCGAUACACGUUUACUCGAGUGCUCUGAAAGCUACACUAACCUGGCAGAAUAUGACCACAAUUCAGUAGUUUCGUGAGGCCUGUGGUGGCCAAGGUUUGAAGACUGAGUUUUCAAAGCUGAAUCUGAUGUCCAGUCUACAUUUCAUGGUGACAACAACGUUCUACUUCUACUGCAGCAGGUUAUUUUAUUUUUUGUUCAUCGUUCGUGCAUGUGUUCUAAAAGUUACUCCAAGCUUGGUUUUGUAUCUCUGUAAUCUGUAUAUAAAUAUUGGCUUUGAUUUUGGAGGACGAGAUGACUGCUCCUGCUGGGUAUAACACUCUUGGUCGUAUUCUGGCGCCGCUGGCCAGAGAAGCCAAAAGGAGGCACGACUAGCUCCGUCUUCUCGCAGUGACGAUGGCCUUCCUCUAAAAAGUUUGAUGUCUCAACCGCCACACACGCUGGGGAAAGCAAGUCUGAGCCUGAGAAACCGUAUCGCUUGGUACAGGGAAUUUGUUGGCUAAUGACUUUGAGUUGAAUACUGCUUGGUUGCACACUUGCAGUAUAUUAUGUCCAUCAGUAAUCUCCCCGGCCUACUCUCUCUUCAUGUCAAUGCUCCAGUGCUCGGACCCUCCCUGACCCCUCCCAGCAAGCAGCAGAGUCUCUCGGGUUCGAGCUCCACCGGGCCGGCGGCGGCGGCGUCCAUGUUCGUUGGGCGGAGCACAACGCUGGUUUUGAAAUCCACCAUGAUGCUACUGAUGAGGCUCUCCUUCUCCUUUGUCCAUCGGUUAUCAGACAACCGUGUAUGAGGCGUCCACCAUCGUACACGCAUUUGAUCAUGCUGAUGUGCCUAGCUGUGGGUUGGCUUCUGUUGGGAUGCUUCGAGAUUUCACGGAUCCAUUAUGACGAAAUAGGGUCCCCCCCCCCCCCCCCCCGCGGCUUUAUUUCACGAAUCCAUUAUCGCCUACAGAACAACGUCCUGGCCCUCCCAGUUUGAGUGAUUCUCUUUAUUUUUCUAUAUCUCAACUGUUACAUGCAUUGUUUAUAUUCGCCGGUCUGCACCCCCGCGUCUCCUCACGUUAAUGUGGCUACUGGCCACGGGACUGACGAGGAGGUCGUGGUGGAGGGGUGGUGCUGGCUGUAGCCUAGCAGGAUAUCAUAAGCUCUCCCAUGUUCUUUUGUGUAUGAAUCAGAUUUAGUGGUUCUUGAUUUUACAGGCAUGCAUCGAUCUUGCUCAUGUUCUAUAUGUAGGAUACACUUAAUGUUUUACAGGAUGUUCUGCAGAUUUUUAGAACACUGAGGGCAUAUCUUGGCUUGGAAUGCUGCUGGGUCGAUGAAGGUCAUGCAACGUGGCAGGUGUACAUGUGUCCACUUGGAAGCUGCUUGAGUUGUUCAAGACAAAAACCAAGUCUAUAUAUGAUGGACUGCACUCCUAUUUUUUUUAUGUGUGCGCCUGCUCCGUGCUCUUUUGUUCCCAGCAGGCUGUUGUGUUGAUCCGUGGGGAUUUGUUUUUACCUCUGCCAUUAGUUUGCUCUGUAAAACGCAGGUGUUCCUGGUUUUGCUUACUCGUGGUUGUAUGUUGGCUUCGUGCUGGCGGGCUAUAGUUCUCCUGUCACAAAUCAUGGAGACAUUCAUCCUCACAGAUUUCUGCUCCUGCUAUGUGAAAAGGUAAAUUCCAUCGAACGAACCCCCUGAAUAAAGUGAUGUCCAUUUCGAACUAUUUGGUUAAAGGAUAUUCCAAGAAUUCCCACUCUCGCAAGAAAACAACUUGGAUCACUUAUGAUAAGAUGUUUUGGUGUUAAGUUUCUCCUCUAUUAUGGACCAAGAAGAUGAAUUAUUUUGGCAACAUCAACUGCAUUUGUACUGACAACAAAAAUAUUGUUACUUGGAUGCUCUUACAUUUAGAGGUACACUAUUAUCUCUGCACUUUAUUGUUACUACUUGAAAGCUCCAUAACAUCCAUGUGUAGAUGCACUUCCAGUCGAUUUAUGGUUGGCAUUAAAGUUAACCUUUAAAUUGAACUUGCAUGUCAAUACGUCAUCUUAAUUUGUGAGUAGAAAUUCUCACUGUGCCGUUUGAACUCCACGUCAAGAAUGGAACGAUCUGUAUUUAAAGCCCUGCUUGAUGAGAAACUGUCAAAUAAUUGUUAAUCUUAAAUUGUAGACAAGAUAUCGAGCCAAUCAUUCUAUAGCUUUGAUAAUUUAGCUCCUUUAGAUUGAUAUUCCAGAACAUCUUCUGCAACAUAGUAUUUUUGGAUGAAAUCCCUUUAUCAUAGUUAUUUAAGAGUACCGUCCACUUGUCGAGUGUGUGAGCACCCAAGGAAUGUUUAGUGCUUUGUCCAUUGUUCACUUGACUGCAUGAUCUAUUACUCCCACUGAUCCAUAUUAGUUGUCGCUGAAACGGAUGUAUCUAGACGUAUACCAAUGCUAGAUACAUCUGUUUGAGACAACUAGUAUGGAUCGGAGGGAGUAUCAAUUUUAUACAAUGCACUAAGACCAAUCGGCUGAAUAAGUACUAUUUCAUCAUUUUUCUGUUUAUGUACCUGUUUAUUCAUGUUGAUGAUCUGCACAGAGAAAAAUGCAUGACAACCUCCAUCUUGAUUGCGUGAUCUCGUUUCAUUCUUAUUUUUCAGACGAUAGGUAGAUAUUUUGAGCCAAUUUGGUACACUAAUAAGAAAGUUAAAACCUGAGAAGUGAUAAGACUGUAUCGUUUGUGUCUUCAUGAACUUUACUUUUAUGUUUUCAUGACUUCUGUUCCUGUCCAAAAUAUUACACGGUCGCAUAAUUCUUCCCUAACUUGCAGAUGCUAUCCAAGCCACAUUAUCCUUCCCUGACAUGCAGAUGCUAUCUAAGCAUUUGUGUUCUAACAGAGAUAAAUAACUUUUUUCAUUAAAUCAAUAAGAGCAGCACAAAGUCUAGGUCCCUGUCUCGGUGGCAGAUGGAAGGAGGGGAAGGAGAGCAGAUGUUGUGGUCAUAUAUUUUGAUGUAACACAUGGCAAGUAGUGUAUGCCCAUUGAAAUAUGUCGACGAUAUGUAUACAAGUGUCAACAAAAGCACCAUUUAACCAUUAUGACAGAUUUUUGUAUGAUUGUUAGCUGACAGAGCAUUUGUUGUGAUGUUGCUGGAAGCGUCGUGUAUGGCAAAGGCAGACCCCGUUGUACUGCAGAGCAGAGUUAGCGACAUUCAAGUCCAUUGUUGAAUGUGUGGUUAUUACCAAAUGAUGUACAUCUCAUUUUCUUAUUAAAGUGUGGCUUUUAUUGCAAAAAAAGCUUGCGGCAAA